UACAGAGGUGCCAAGCGUUAGGCGGAAUCACUGGGCUUAAAGCGUGUGUAGGCGGACGAACAAGUAUCUUGUGAAAUCCCACGGCUCAGCCGUGGAACUGCUGGAUAUACUGCUCGUCUUGAGCAACCUAGGGGCUACCGGAACAAAUGGUGGAGCGGUGAAAUGCGUAGAUAUCAUUUGGAACGCCAAUGGUGAAAACAGGUAGCUGGGGGUUUGCUGACGCUGAGACACGAAAGCCAGGGGAGCAAACGGG
rnacentral:rRNA from 1 species